rfam:Astyanax mexicanus chromosome 6, whole genome shotgun sequence.
AAGACUAUACUUUCAGGGAUCAUUUCUAUAAUUUUUAACUUGGAAAGUUGUUCUGAAAGUGUUACGUCUCUCUACCCACGAUGACGAGUCGUGAUACUUCUUUCUGAGCGUGAAUCUGAUGGAGAGUAAUGAUUAAACUCAUCUGCUCUCUGUUGUUGAUGAGCGUUCCUGCUGUGCUCCAACGUCGGGUAUAAAGAGAAGCCUUUUCAGAGGAGC